GAGUAAUGCAUAGGAAUCUGCCCAGUAGUUGGGGAUAGCCCGGGGAAACCCGGAUUAAUACCGAAUACGCCCUACGGGGGAAAGCAGGGGAUCUUCGGACCUUGCGCUAUUGGAUGAGCCUAUGUCGGAUUAGCUAGUUGGUGGGGUAAUGGCUUACCAAGGCGACGAUCCGUAGCUGGUCUGAGAGGAUGAUCAGCCACAUCGGGACUGAGACACGGCCCGAACUCCUACGGGAGGCAGCAGUGGGGAAUAUUGGACAAUGGGGGAAACCCUGAUCCAGCCAUGCCGCGUGUGUGAAGAAGGCUUUCGGGUUGUAAAGCACUUUCAGUGAGGAGGAAAACCUUUUGGCUAAUAUCCAUGAGGCUUGACGUUACUCAAAAAAAAAGCACCGGCUAACUCCGUGCCAGCUGCCGCGGUAAUACGGAGGGUGCAUGCGUUAAUCGCAAUUACUGGGCGUAAAUCGCGCGUAGGUGGUUCGAUAAGCGAGAUGUGAAAGCCCCGGGCUUAACCUGGGAACGGCAUUUCGAACUGUCGGGCUAGAGUAUGGUAGAGGGUAGUGGAAUUUCCUGUGUAGCGGUGAAAUGCGUAGAUAUAGGAAGGAACACCAGUGGCGAAGGCGGCUACCUGGACCAAUACUGACACUGACCUGCGAAAGCGUGGGGAGCAAACAGGAUUAGAUACCCUGGUAGUCCACGCCGUAAACGAUGUCAACUAGCCGUUGGGGAUCUUGAAUCUUUAGUGGCGCAGCUAACGCACUAAGUUGACCGCCUGGGGAGUACGGCCGCAAGGUUAAAACUCAAAUGAAUUGACGGGGGCCCGCACAAGCGGUGGAGCAUGUGGUUUAAUUCGACGCAACGCGAAGAACCUUACCUGGCCUUGACAUCCUGCGAACUUUCUAGAGAUAGAUUGGUGCCUUCGGGAACGCAGUGACAGGUGCUGCAUGGCCGUCGUCAGCUCGUGUCGUGAGAUGUUGGGUUAAGUCCCGUAACGAGCGCAACCCCUAUCCCUAGUUGCUAGCAGUUCGGCUGAGAACUCUAGGGAGACUGCCGGUGACAAACCGGAGGAAGGUGGGGAUGACGUCAGGUCAUCAUGGCCCUUACGGCCAGGGCUACACACGUGCUACAAUGGCGCGCACAGAGGGCUGCAAACUCGCGAGAGUAAGCCAAUCUCUUAAAACGCGUCGUAGUCCGGAUCGCAGUCUGCAACUCGACUGCGUGAAGUCGGAAUCGCUAGUAAUCGCGAAUCAGAAUGUCGCGA
rnacentral:rRNA from 1 species